UUGAGCUAUGACCAUCAGGUGCUUCUUGAUUACCUUAUUUCAAAAGAUACCGGAAUCAGUUGUGCAGAAUAUCUUUUAAGGUGCUUGCGUAAAGUGUGUGAUUCAUGGAGCUUAUUUGUGGAAUUUCUAGUGGGUGGGCAAGCUACAAAUCAAUCAUUUUGCAAGAAAAGAAAAGUUUCAUUGGGUGGCUCGAGUUCCUGGGGAGAGUAUUCUCUUGCACCAACGAAAAACCAUCUUACAUUUCUUGAUGAUGAACCUGAUGAAGAAAAUGAAAAUGGCUGCAAGCACACCCAAAAUGAAUUUCAUUAUGCUUCCCAGUAAACUAGUGAUUGCUCUUACUAUAGCUUAACAAGAUUUCAGGAACUCUGUUUUGGGGAAGAGAAAUAAACUU